GCGCAGGUGGCGGAACUGGUAUACGCGUACGUUUGAGGGGCGUAUGGAGCAAUCCUUGGGGGUUCAAGUCCCCCCCUGCGCACAA
rnacentral:tRNA from 1 species